rnacentral:rRNA from 1 species
CGAACGAGAAGCGCACCUUCGGGUGCGUGGACAGUGGCGCACGGGUGCGUAACACGUAGCUGACCUGCCCCGAAGACGGGAAUAACUCACGGAAACGUGGGCUAAUGCCCGAUAAGCUCCCGCUCGUUAGAGACGUGGGAGAAAAGCUCUGGCGCUUUGGGAUGGGGCUGCGGUCCAUCAGCUAGAUGGGGAGGUAACGGCUCACCAUGGCAACGACGGAUAGGGGACCUGAGAGGGUGACCCCCCACACUGGAACUGAGACACGGUCCAGACUCCUACGGGAGGCAGCAGUGAGGAAUAUUGCGCAAUGGGCGAAAGCCUGACGCAGCGACGCCGCGUGGAUGAUGAAGGUCUUCGGAUCGUAAAGUCCUUUUCUGCGUGACGAGCAAGGACGGUAGCGCAGGAACAAGUCUCGGCUAACUACGUGCCAGCAGCCGCGGUAAAACGUAGGAGGCAAGCGUUAUCCGGAGUUACUGGGCGUAAAGCGCGUGUAGGCGGUUCGGCAGGUCUGAUGUGAAAGCCCCCAGGCUAAACCGGGAGAGGUCAUUGGAAACCGUCGAGCUAGAGGACGGCAGAGGGGCAUGGAAUUCCGGGUGUAGUGGUGAAAUGCGUAGAGAUCCGGAGGAACACCAGUGGCGAAGGCGGUGCCCUGGGCCGACCCUGACGCUGAGACGCGAAAGCAUGGGGAGCGAACGGGAUUAGAAACCCCGGUAGUCCAUGCCGUAAACGAUGCACACUGGGUGUUCGUAGCGGGAAACCGCUGGGAGUGCCGAAGCCAACGCGGUAAGUGUGCCGCCUGGGAGUACGGUCGCAAGGCUAAAACUCAAAGGAAUUGACGGGGGCCCGCACAAGCAGCGGAGCGUGUGGUUUAAUUCGAAGCUACGCGAAGAACCUUACCCGGGUUUGACAUCCCGUGAACGACCGCGAAAGCGGAAGGAUCCUUCGGGACACGGUGACAGGUGCUGCAUGGCUGUCGUUAGCUCGUGCCGUGAGGUGUUCGGUUAAGUCCGCAAACGAGCGCAACCCCUGGGGUUAGUUACAAGUGUCUAGCCCGACUGCCCGUGAGAAACGGGAGGAAGGUGGGGAUGACGUCAAGUCAGCAUGGCCUUUAUAUCCGGGGCGACGCACACGCUACAAUGGCGCGUACAAUGGGAGGCGAAGGGGCGACCUGGAGCGAAUCUCGCAAAGCGCGUCUCAGUUCGGAUUGUAGGCUGCAACUCGCCUGCAUGAAGUCGGAGUUGCUAGUAACCGUGGAUCAGCCACGCUACGGUGAAUACGUUCCCGGGCCUUGUACACACCGCCCGUCACGUCAUGGAAGCUGGUCAUGCCUGAAGUCGGGAAGCUAACCGCAAG